rnacentral:misc_RNA from 1 species
GAUGAAGAACGUAGCGAAAUGCGAUAAGUAAUGUGAAUUGCAGAAUUCAGUGAAUCAUCGAAUCUUUGAACGCACAUUGCGCCCCUUGGUAUUCCGAGGGGCAUGCCUGUUCGAGCGUCAUAUAAACCACUCCCGCUUGCGGGGUCUUGGGCUUCGCCUCCGGGCGGGCCUUAAAAUCAGUGGCGGUGCCGUCGGGCUCUACGCGUAGUAAAUUUUCUCGCGAUAGGGUCCCGGUGGAUGCUUGCCAACAACCCCCAACUUCUUAAGGUUGACCUCGGAUCAGGUAGGGAUACCCGCUGAACUUAAGCAUAUCAAUAAGCGGAGGA